rnacentral:rRNA from 1 species
CUACGGGCUGCUCCAGUGGGGAAUAUUGGGCAAUGGGCGAAAGCCUGACCCAGCAACGCCGCGUGAUUGAAGAAGGUCUUCGGAUUGUAAAGAUCUGUCCUUGGGGACGAAAAAAAUGACGGUACCCAAGGAGGAAGCCCCGGCUAACUACGUGCCAGCAGCCGCGGUAAUACGUAGGGGGCGAGCGUUGUCCGGAAUUACUGGGCGUAAAGGGUGCGCAGGCGGCGCUUUAAGUCAGAUGUGAAAUAUUCGGGCUCAACCCGAAGGGUGCAUUUGAAACUGGAGUGCUUGAGUGCAGGAGAGGAAAGUGGAAUUCCUAGUGUAGCGGUGAAAUGCGUAGAUAUUAGGAGGAACACCAGUGGCGAAGGCGACUUUCUGGACUGUAACUGACGCUGAGGCACGAAAGCGUGGGGAGCAAACAGGAUUAGAUACCCCUGUAGUC